rnacentral:rRNA from 1 species
AGAGCGAACGCUGGCGGCAGGCCUAACACAUGCAAGUCGAGCGGCCGUAGCAAUACGGCAGCGGCAGACGGGAGAGUAACACGUGGGAACGCGCCCUUCGGUUCGGAAUAACUCAGGGAAACUUGGGCUAAUACCGGAUACGCCCUUACGGGGAAAGAUUUAUUGCCGAAGGAACGGCCCGCGUCCGAUUAGCUUGUUGGUGAGGUAACGGCUCACCAAGGCGACGAUCGGUAGCUGGUCUGAGAGGAUGACCAGCCUCACUGGGACUGAGACACGGCCCAGACUCCUACGGGAGGCAGCAGUGGGGAAUAUUGGACAAUGGGCGAAAGCCUGAUCCAGCAAUGCCGCGUGUGUGAAGAGGUCUUCGGAUUGUAAAGCACUUUCGACGGGGACGAUGAUGACGGUACCCGUAGAAGAAGCCCCGGCUAACUUCGUGCCAGCAGCCGC